UACGUAGGGUGCGAGCGUUAAUCGGAAUUACUGGGCGUAAAGCGUGCGUAGGCGGUUCGUUAAGUUCGUUGUGAAAGCCCCGGGCUCAACCUGGGAAUGGCAAUGGAAACUGGCGGGCUGGAGUAUGGCAGAGGGGGGUGGAAUUCCGCGUGUAGCGGUGAAAUGCGUAGAUAUCAGGAGGAACACCGGUGGCGAAGGCGCUCAUCUGGCCCAAUACUGACGCUGAGGCGCGAAAGCGUGGGGAGCGAACAGG
rnacentral:rRNA from 1 species